CAACUUAUAAGCCCAAAACUAAUUUUACUCUACACACCAGGCCCAUCAUUCUUUCCAAUUUGUUGACCCGACUUUUCUAAACUCUCUGGCAUCUCUAAAACCCUAAACCCCAAAUCACAUUCAUAUAAUUCAAAAGAUAUAUGUAUGUUCAGAUUCCAGGCAGCCUGUAAAGGUAGGAUUUUCUUGGAAUCUCGAAUCGAGAAAUGUACCCAUGAUCGAUUAUGUUCAAAUGUUGCUGGUUGUGUGCAAGUUUCGUCCAGUAGAAUUAAGAGGAUUGCUAGUGAGAUUGAUUCUGAGCUUCUGUUUAGGUCAUGCAAUAAUACCCGUCUUACUAAGUGUCUUCAUGCCCUUCUUAUUGCAUCGGGGAAGGCUCGAAAUGUUGUUGUAUCAACUAAACUUGUCAAUCACUAUGCUCAAAUUCGGGAAAUAUCACUUUCGCGGAGAACUUUUGAUUUUAUCUCAAGUAAGAAUGUAUUUGCCUGGAAUUCGAUGAUGUCUUCUUAUGUUCGUAAUGGUUGUUAUCGUGAUGCGGUAAACUGUUUGUAUACAAUGUUGAUGACGUCUGAUGUUCGUCCGGAUUUCUACACGUUUCCCACGGUGUUGAAAGCCUGUGCUAACUUAACCAACGGGAGUCAGAUACAUACAUGGGUAUUUAAAUUGGGUUUUCAUUGGGACAUUUUUGUGGCCUCUGCAUUGGUUCACAUGUAUUGCAAAGUUGGCUCGUUUCCUGCUGCUCGCGAAAUUUUCAGUGGUAUGACAUAUCGCGACAAGGGUUGUUGGAAUGCUAUAAUUUCUGGACUUUGUCAGAAUGGUAAUGCUGUUGAAGCACUAGAGAUCGUGGAUAAAAUGAGAAUGGAGGGUGUUGCAAUGGACUCGGUAACUGUUUCAACCAUACUUUCAGUUUGUGCACAGAUAGAUGAUUUUUGUCGGGGAUGCUUGAUACACUUGUAUGCAAUAAAGCAUGGGUUAGAGUUCGAUCUGUUUGUGUGUAACGCUUUAAUUAACAUGUAUGCCAAAUUUGGUUUAUUGGGGAAUGCUCAGAAGGUCUUUGAUCUGAUGGAGGAGAGAGAUCUGGUCUCUUGGAAUUCAAUGACUGCAGCAUAUGAGCAGAACAAUAAUCCAGAUACUGCCCUUAACUUAUUUCGGGAGAUGCAAUUGCAUGAUGUUGAACCCGAUUUUUUGACUCUAGUGAGCUUAGCUUCUAGUGUUGCUCAAACUAAGGAUUCUCAAAAUAGUGGAUCACUUCAUGCUUUUAUACUAAAGAGAUGCUGGAUUCAAGAACAUGUUGUUGUUGGAAAUGCAGUUGUGGACAUGUAUGCAAAGUUGGGUAUCACGGACUCGGCACUAAAAGCUUUUGAAGAGCUGCCUAUGAAAGAUUUAAUCUCUUGGAAUACAAUGAUAACUGGCUUUGCUCAGAAUGGGUUUGCCAGUGAGGCGAUAGAAGUAUAUAGCAUGCUGGAAAAGUGUGAGGACAUAGUACCAAAUGAAGCAACGUGGGUGAGUGUUUUGCCAGCUUAUGCUCAUGUAGGAAACCUGCGAGGAGGGACAAAAAUUCAUGCACAUACAUUGAAAGCUGGUUUUAACACAGAUGUCUUUGUGGGGACCAGUCUCAUUGACCUCUAUGGGAAAUGUGGGAGACUAAAAGAUGCAAUGUCCUUAUUUUACGAAGUCCCGAGAAGAAAUCCAAUCCCUUGGAAUGCUGUUAUAUCAUGUCAUGCAAUUCAUGGCCAUGGGGAGACAUCUCUGCAGUUAUUUAGAGAUAUGCUUGAUGAGGGGGUUAGUCCAGAUCAUGUAAGCUUUGUAUCCUUAUUGUCAGCUUGCAGCCAUUCAGGUCUAGUUUCUCAGGGUCAGUGGUGUUUCGAUCUGAUGCACAAGUAUGGGAUCAAACCAAGUUUGAAACACUAUGGCUGCAUGGUUGAUUUGCUUGGUCGGGCUGGGCAUUUGGAUAUGGCAUACGAUUUCAUAAAGAGCAUGCCUUUUAAGCCUGAUGCUUCAGUUUGGGGUGCUCUUCUUGGAGCUUGUAGAAUUCAUGGAAAUGUUGAGUUGGGUAACCUUGCUUCAAAACGCUUGUUCGAAGUUGAUUCAGAAAAUGUUGGUUACUAUGUACUGUUGUCAAAUAUUUAUGCAAAUUUUGGAAAAUGGGAGGGGGUGGAUCAAGUCAGAUCAUUAGCUAGAGACAGGGGAUUGAGGAAGACUCCUGGGUGGAGCUCCAUGGAAAUUGAUAAUAAAGUUGAAGUAUUUUAUACAGGAAACCAGUCUCACCCGCAGUGUGAAGAAAUAUACAGCGAAUUAGAAAUUUUGACCGAGAAAAUUAAGAGCCUUGGUUAUGUUCCAGACUAUAGCUUUGUAUUGCAGGAUGUUGAGGAGGAUGAGAAGCAACACAUUCUUACAAGUCACAGCGAAAGAUUGGCUAUUGCAUAUGGAAUAAUCAACACUCCUCCUAAGACAACUAUUCGAAUAUUUAAGAAUUUAAGAGUUUGCGGUGAUUGCCACAAUGCAACUAAAUUGAUUUCAAAGAUAACUGAAAGGGAGAUCAUUGUGAGGGAUUCUAACCGUUUUCAUCAUUUCAAGGAUGGAAAUUGCUCUUGCGGUGAUUAUUGGUGAUACAUUUUGUUGAUCGUGAAGUCACAGUUUGAUAUCAUGCAGAUCAGGGCUUCAGAUCCUGAAUAUUAGGACACAAAGGAAAAUUAUCUGUUUUUGGGGCUACAAGCACAUGAGGAGGAUACAGAAGUUGUCACAUUUUCAGUUCUGAAAUAAGUUGCUGUUGUCUUGCCUGGCUGCAUCGGUGAUCAUAUUGGAUUUCUCAUCCCAAGAAUAGUGGAGGCCUUAUGUGCACUGAAUAGCUUCAUACUAAGGUACUCUGGAGAUAUACCUUAUACUAAUAUGAAGUUCUACAUCUUAUUCUGGGUUUUUAGUUAUGAUGACCGAUUACAUGGAGGAGAAUGGAAGUCUCAAGGAAGGCCAGGAGGUCCAGGACAAGUGUGGUGUCGUGGAACAAAAGCUUUGGAUGCUUUAGCAUUUGUGGUGUGCGAAUAGUUCUAUUGGUGUGCGAAUAGUUCUAUCGCUGAAUGUUAUUACAAUCGAAUUAUCAGUCUCGGUUUUAAAAUCAUUGACAUCAAUCGGUUCAGUUUAAUAUAAAAGAAGAUAAAUAUUACAA